GACGAACGCUGGCGGCGUGCUUAACACAUGCAAGUCGAACGGAGUGGCGAACGGGUGUGUAACACGUGGGUGAUCUGCCUUGCACUUCGGGAUAAGCUUGGGAAACUGGGUCUAAUACCGGAUAGUGCAAGAUGAGCUCGCGGCCUAUCAGCUUGUUGGUGGGGUAAGGGCCUACCAAGGCGGCGACGGGUAGCCGGCCUGGGAGGGUGUACGGGCACGUGGGUACUGUGAUACGGCCCAGUCUCCUACGGGUGGCAGUAGUGGGGAAUAUUGCACAAUGCGCGGAAGUCUGAUGCAGCGAUGGCGCGGGGGGGAUGAAGGCAUUCGGGUUGUGAACUCCUGUCGCCAGGGACGCGGUACCGGCACAGGAAGCACCGGCUAACUACGUGCGAGCAGCCGCGGUAAUAC
rnacentral:rRNA from 1 species